UGGGGUAUGGCAAAGAAGGAAGGAUUACACUCCAGUGGAUUAGGAUCCUGUGCAAAUAGAUGCCCAGCAUCUGCAACAUGAUUAUUGUUCAGUUCCAGAACCCACGGCAGUUGAUAAUGCACUGAAUUAAACUUAGAAUCUCUGUAAAGAGGUGGACCGAAUAAGGAGACAGGUGGAGGAAUUGUCGGUCAGUCAAAGGUUUUGUUUGGGGUGAUUUGCUGCUUCCGAUGAUGAUGUAAGGUUCUACACUAGGUUUGUGACUAACAGCCAUUUAAUGGCUUUCUGGAAACUCAUUGAACCUGCAUCCCACAACAUGAUUCGUGUGUCAAGAGCAAGAGCAACUACAACAAGGACUGAAGCUGGAACAACAGGCAGUGCAUGGGGUCAGUCUCUGCAGCCCAUUGAUGAGUUCUUCCUCUUCGUGGUCCACCUCUCAGUUGGUCUAAAACAGCGAGAUCUGGCCCACAGAUUCAACAUCCAUCAGUCCACAGUUGGCAGAAUUAUUACAACCUGGGCCAAUUUUUUGUACACUUUUCUUGGGUCUGUCCGCAUAUGAA